ACGGAGGGUGCAAGCGUUAUCCGGAUUCACUGGGUUUAAAGGGUGCGUAGGCGGGAAUGUAAGUCAGUGGUGAAAUCUCGGAGCUUAACUCCGAAACUGCCAUUGAUACUAUGUUUCUUGAAUAUUGUGGAGGUGAGCGGAAUAUGUCAUGUAGCGGUGAAAUGCUUAGAUAUGACAUAGAACACCGAUUGCGAAGGCAGCUCGCUACACAAAUAUUGACGCUGAGGCACGAAAGCGUGGGGAUCAAACAG
rnacentral:rRNA from 1 species